rnacentral:rRNA from 1 species
UACGUAGGGGGCGAGCGUUGUCCGGAUUCAUUGGGCGUAAAGAGCUCGUAGGCGGCUUGGCAAGUCGGGUGUGAAAUCUCUGGGCUUAACUCAGAGAGGCCACUCGAUACUGCUAUGGCUAGAGUCCGGUAGGGGACCAUGGAAUUCCUGGUGUAGCGGUGAAAUGCGCAGAUAUCAGGAGGAACACCGGUGGCGAAGGCGGUGGUCUGGGCCGGCACUGACGCUGAGGAGCGAAAGCCAGGGGAGCAAACGGG